AUGAACGCAUCAACUAUAGGGCAGAGGCAGAAGUGGUGUCUCGUCUCCACUCAGGAGCUUUCCUCAUGGCGAUUUCCCAAAACACAACCUGUCUCGGAAGGAGACACUGGCUUGAGAGGAGGAGAAAGCAAAACCACCCUUCCCAGAUGGAUGUCACAGAGUCGCCAACUCACCACCUUCUGUGAAGGACUCACAGGGAGGAUGUCACAUCUGGACUCUUACCAAAGUGCCACAAAGGAACACACUUGGCUGUUUUUACUCGGAAACAUGGCUGCAGCCCUCAGCCGACACCCCCAGGGACGCUGGCUCUGCCCUUGGCACCUGGCACCUUGCCUUGGAUGCAGUGGACUACACAGCCCCCGUGCUCCAAGGGUUCAGAUGCUCCCAAGAGGACCACGCCUGGGUCCUGGACAUCACCGCCAGGGCAAAAUCCUCAGGAGGUUUGGGCUUUUGUUGACCGUGAAGCCUCAGGAGGCUGGGGCUUUUCACUGAUGGCGAUUGUGGCACCGCAAUGGUCAGCAGUAGCUCCGCUGACCCACAUCUUCCAACGGCGGCUUCUGUCUGGGGGACCCACUCCAGUCCUCUCCCCAUCAACACGAACUGAAAGGAUGUAUGAAGAGCUCUGAAUUUGCAGCCCACAAAACCUAGACAGACAGACACACAUACACACACACACACACAAACUUUCAACGAGACGUGUGUGUGUGUGUGUGUGUGUGUGUGUGUGCUCACAAAUUCAGUCCCAAGAUCUUGCUCCAAGCCCCACCCAGUUCACGGGGGGAAGCCGGCCCGCAGCACGCUGGAGGUGGCCUAUCAACUGACCUCUAACUCACUCCAGAAAGAUGAGUGAUGCCUGAAAACUAAAAUGAUCCAGGUUGAGAAGACAAGCGAUGAGGUAGGAGCUGGGUCUCCAGUCCUUGAUCCCAGGGGCCGUGCGCGCAGCUCUAGCGCCACCUCGUGGACGGAUGGGAUUCAUCCCGCAUUUCGCAUCAGCCCACCCACUCAUCCCACCACCUCCCGCCUGACUUGAGGUCCUCUCAGCUCUCUUGAGGCUCUCCCGAGCUUGGUGACCACAGGGUGUGUUCUAGAAAUACUAGUUCUAGGAAUACGUCUAACGUGGGCGAGGCGGGGCUUCUCCAGUAACUAGAGGAGCAACUGCAAACUUGUCUCGAGGGCUAUGAACUGAAAAGAUGUUUCAGAGGAAUUGAAGCACACAAACACACAGGGACACACCCACAGACACACGUAGGGACACACAGAGAUGCACACACACACACACACACAUACACAGAAGCACACAUAGUCACAAACACAAGGACACACACACACCAUACUCAAAAGAAGUGUGUGCCCACAGCUUCAAUGCCAAGCUCUCUCUCCAGGCCCCGCCGGCUCGUGGGGGCAUCAAACCGGCCUCCCCUAAUCCUGCCACAUCCCAGCAAUCGCCGAUGGCCAGAGCUGCCUUAUCAAGGUCCUGCCCCUGGUUUGUUUGUUUUGUUUUUGUUUUAAUGUCUGCUUUUCUGCCCCAGUUCGGGAUGCAGGUCUGGGCAGCCCCAGGAGAGGGAGCAGUGGGUCAAGCCCAGACUCUUCCAUGGGGGCAGAAAUGGCUGUCAGUUCACACUCACACACACACACACACACACACACACUCUCUCUGCCCAGCGGGCCCCCAGCAGGGCCACAGAAAAUUCAGGGAUCAGAUCACAAGGCCACCGCCACCACCCGCCCUCUGUCCGGUGUGCUGGCCCAUCAGGCCGUGGAGACCUUCCUGGUGAAUCGAGGGGCUGAAAACAGAACUGAGAGGCUCACAGCCUCUUCCCCAGAGAGAAAAAGAAAGUGAGAGAUGGUCUGUACGGUUUAUCCCGCAGGAACCUUCACAAAGUCAGGCACAAGCAGCCAGGGUGAGAGGACUUAGAAAAGAUGAAAGGAGCAAACAAACAGCAAGUGCCAAAUGUCUGCAGUCCUGACACUGCAGGGCAGGAAAUCAGCUCCCCGUGGCAGGAAACCCCGGCUCUCAGGCCUGGCUUCUGAGCUGUGUGACCUUGGGCAGGGCUCUUAACCUCUCUGAGCCCAGCUUUCUCACCCACAAAAGGAAGGUCUCCUGAUGGAGACCCAACAAGUCAAUAAUACAUGUUUCCCUGGAUAAAAGCAGCUCUGGAGGCCAUCCUACAUGGUAAUAUAUGCAAAAGACCCAGAAUUGAAUCCGAGGGCUUUGAAAAACAGUGUGGCUCUUUAUCAAUUGUCACUUGAUACACCAAGCUUUACCCACUAAGAUAUGUCCCGAAGUCCCUGGCAGCUGGCGGCAGUGCCAAACUUCUUCUCUCUCCAGUCUCUCCCCCUAAAUCUCCUCCGAAAAUAUCAUUGUCCUUGCCAAGGUAGCCCCACCGUCCCUCACACUCACGGUUCCCAGCCCCGGCUGCCUGUUAUGUGCACCUCAAAACCUUCCUAAAGGGCCAAGCCCGGGGCCCCACUGCAGAGGAGUGAAAUCUGACUUUCUGGAAGCUGGAUCUGAGUGUCAGUCCUAUUUAGAUGCUCUGAGGUGAUUUUAUUUGCAUUCAGGGUAGAAAUUGCUGUUCUAAAUAUUUUUUAAACGGUUCAUUUGAAAUGUACUUUUACCAUCACGUUCCAUCACAAAAGACUGGAUACAGUUUCUGUGCUGUAGAGUGUGAUAGAGCAUGAUGGAAGGUAGUAUGAGACAAAGGAUAUUUAUAUAUGGCUGGGUCACUUUGCUGUUCAGCAGAAAUUGACACAACAUUGUAAGUCACCUCUACUUUAAAAAAAAAAAAAUUUAAGGACAGUUUACCACCUCUGGAUCUGUCAAUUUUCCUCCGAGCGCCUAUGAUUUCUCACUUCACUGUUUGUGUGUGUGUCUUUUUAUCUUUUUAGGGCCACACCCGCGGCAUAUGGAGGUGCCCAGGCUUGGGGUCAAAUCGGAGCUACAGGUGCCAGCCUACACCGCAGCCACAGCAACCCAGGAUCUGAGCCAUGUCUGCGACCUACACCACAGCUCAUGGCAACGCAGGAUCCUUAACCCACUGAGCGAGGCCAGGGAUCGAACCGGCAUCCUCAGGGAUCCCAGUCGGGUUCCUUAACCACUGAGCCAUGACAGGAACUCCAUCACUUCCCUGUUCUUUCCGUAAUCUAUGGGUUGAGAACAACCCCAAAUCCCUUCAUGAGGGGGACAAGUCAAAUAAAAAUGGCAGAUCCACGCA
rnacentral:lncRNA from 1 species